rnacentral:rRNA from 1 species
GCUACGGGCGGCAGCAGUGGGGAAUAUUGCACAAUGGGGGAAACCCUGAUGCAGCGACGCCGCGUGAGCGCUGAAGUAUUUCGGUAUGUAAAGCUCUAUCAGCAGGGAAGAAAAUGACGGUACCUGACUAAGAAGCCCAGGCUAACUACGUGCCAGCAGCCGCGGUACUACGUAGGGGGCCAGCGUUAUCCGGAUUUACUGGGUGUAAAGGGAGUGUAGACGGAGAUGCAAGCCCGUUGUGAAAGCCCGGGGCUCAACCCCGGGACUGCAGUUGGAAAUGUCUAGCUGGAGAGUCGGAGAGGCAGGCGGAAUUCCUAGUGUAGCGGUGAAAUGCGUAGAUAUUAGGAGGAAAACCAGUGGCGAAGGCGGCCUGCUGGACGAUGACUGACGUUGAGGCUCGAAAGCGUGGGGAGCAAACAGGAUUAGAUACCCGAGUAGUC